rnacentral:rRNA from 1 species
GACGAACGCUGGCGGCGUGCUUAACACAUGCAAGUCGAACGGGCCUUGUCCCCUUUUUUUUUGGGGGUGGGGUUAGUGGCGAACGGGUGAGUAACACGUGAGUAACCUGCCCCUCACUUCUGGAUAACCGCUUGAAAGGGUGGCUAAUACGGGGUGUUCUGGCCUGCUCGCAUGGGUGGGUUUGGAAAGAUUCGACCGGUUUUGGUUGUUUUGGUGGGGGAUGGGCUCGCGGCCUAUCAGCUUGUUGGUGGGGUGAUGGCCUGCCAAGGCUUUGACGGGUAGCCGGCCUGAGAGGGUGGGCGGUCACACUGGGACUGAGACACGGCCCAGACUCCUACGGGAGGCAGCAGUGGGGAAUAUUGCACAAUGGGCGCAAGCCUGAUGCAGCGACGCCGCGUGAGGGAUGGAGGCCUUCGGGUUGUGAACCUCUUUCGCCAGUGAAGAAGGUCCUGCUCUUUGUGGUGGGGUUGACGGUAGCUGGGUUAAUGAAGCACCGGCUAACUACGUG